rnacentral:rRNA from 1 species
UGGCGAACGGGUGAGUAACACGUGGGUGAUCUGCCCUGCACUUCGGGAUAAGCCUGGGAAACUGGGUCUAAUACCGGAUAGGACGAUGGUUUGGAUGCCAUUGUGGAAGGUUUUUCGGUGUGGGAUGAGCUCGCGGCCUAUCAGCUUGUUGGUGGGGUAAUGGCCUACCAAGGCGUCGACGGGUAGCCGGUCUGAGAGGGUGUGCGGCCACAUUGGGACUGAGAUACGGCCCAG